GGAAGUAAAAAAUCGUAACAAGGUCUCCGUUGGUGAACCAGCGGAGGGAUCAUUACAGAGUUGCAAAACUCCCUAAACCAUUGUGAACGUUACCUAUACCGUUGCUUCGGCGGGCGGCCCCGGGGUUUACCCCCCGGGCGCCCCUGGGCCCCACCGCGGGCGCCCGCCGGAGGUCACCAAACUCUUGAUAAUUUAUGGCCUCUCUGAGUCUUCUGUACUGAAUAAGUCAAAACUUUCAACAACGGAUCUCUUGGUUCUGGCAUCGAUGAAGAACGCAGCGAAAUGCGAUAAGUAAUGUGAAUUGCAGAAUUCAGUGAAUCAUCGAAUCUUUGAACGCACAUUGCGCCCGCCAGCAUUCUGGCGGGCAUGCCUGUUCGAGCGUCAUUUCAACCAUCAAGCCCCCGGGCUUGUGUUGGGGACCUGCGGCUGCCGCAGGCCCUGAAAAGCAGUGGCGGGCUCGCUGUCGCACCGAGCGUAGUAGCAUACAUCUCGCUCUGGUCGCGCCGCGGGUUCCGGCCGUUAAACCACCUUUUAACCCAAGGUUGACCUCGGAUCAGGUAGGAAGACCCGCUGAACUUAAGCAUAUCAAAAGCCCGGAGGAA
rnacentral:rRNA from 1 species